rnacentral:rRNA from 1 species
AGGACUAACGCUGGCGGCGUGCCUAACACAUGCAAGUCGAACGAGAGUAGCAAUACUCUAGUGGCAGACGGGUGAGUAACACGUGGUCAACCUACCUCUAUGUGGGGGAUAACUAGCCGAAAGGUUAGCUAAUACCGCAUACGAUCGUCGAGCGGCAUCGCUUGACGAUGAAAGGAGCAAUCCGCAGAGAGACGGGACCGCGUCCCAUUAGCUAGUUGGUGGGGUAAAGGCCUACCAAGGCGACGAUGGGUAGCUGGCUUGAGAGAGCGACCAGCCACACUGGGGACUGAGACACGGCCCAGACUCCUACGGGAGGCAGCAGUGAGGAAUUUUCCGCAAUGGGCGAAAGCCUGACGGAGCGACGCCGCGUGUGGGAAGAAGGCCUUCGGGUCGUAAACCACUGUCGAAGGGGAAGAUAUUGACGGUACCCUUGGAGGAAGCCCGGCUAACUACGCGCCAGCAGCCGC